rnacentral:rRNA from 1 species
CCUGGCUCAGAGCGAACGCUGGCGGCAGGCUUAACACAUGCAAGUCGAGCGGGCGUAGCAAUACGUCAGCGGCAGACGGGUGAGUAACGCGUGGGAACGUACCUUUUGGUUCGGAACAACACAGGGAAACUUGUGCUAAUACCGGAUAAGCCCUUACGGGGAAAGAUUUAUCGCCGAAAGAUCGGCCCGCGUCUGAUUAGCUAGUUGGUGAGGUAAUGGCUCACCAAGGCGACGAUCAGUAGCUGGUCUGAGAGGAUGAUCAGCCACAUUGGGACUGAGACACGGCCCAAACUCCUACGGGAGGCAGCAGUGGGGAAUAUUGGACAAUGGGGGCAACCCUGAUCCAGCCAUGCCGCGUGAGUGAUGAAGGCCCUAGGGUUGUAAAGCUCUUUUGUGCGGGAAGAUAAU